UACGUAGGUGGCAAGCGUUGUCCGGAGUUAUUGGGCGUAAAGCGCGCGCAGGCGGUUUCUUAAGUCUGAUGUGAAAGCCCCCGGCUCAACCGGGGAGGGUCAUUGGAAACUGGGAAACUUGAGUGCAGAAGAGGAAAGUGGAAUUCCAAGUGUAGCGGUGAAAUGCGUAGAGAUUUGGAGGAACACCAGUGGCGAAGGCGACUUUCUGGUCUGUAACUGACGCUGAGGCGCGAAAGCGUGGGGAGCAAACAGG
rnacentral:rRNA from 1 species